UAAAAGAGCGUCCGAUUCUUACCUGC
rnacentral:piRNA from 1 species